UCUACUCCUGAGCCCAUCCACCACCACCACGUGGACAGCGAAACGGCCCUUGUGGGCCUCGUCGUCCCCGGUGACGGCGAUCACUAGGGAGCUAGUUCGGCGCCCGCGCCCGCGCCCCCGCCGGCCGCACGCCCCUGCCUCUGGGGGUGGCAUCCGACGGGCCCGCGAACGUCACUGCAGGGCUGGUGAAAAGUGCGUCCUGUCGCGGGGCGUCGCCGGGGAGCUGCGACGGCACUUUGCAACCGCGAAGGCAAUAUCUUCUGGAGAUCGCAAUUGUGUAUCACUGCCAUAUGUGAGGAAGCUGGAUGCAGGAACAAUCCACCAUUAGACCCUUUUUGUACAAUCAGGAUUAGAAGAUCUAAUACUUUGAGGCUAAAAUGUCAUUCUAACAAACCGAGAUGUCCAAUUUUCUGUCCACAGUGCAGGCUUGUUAGCCAUGUGGAAAUAAGGUGAAAGAGUAUGGAGAAUGGACACCCACAACUGGAUUUGGAGCAUCGUCUUGCUUGCACAUCAUCCAUGGAACACCUGUCUGGAGGUUUACAGCCAUUGAAGCUGCCCAAUGCACGUAACGUGGUCCACUUGAGCCGAAUGCAGGCUGAACCAUCUGGACCUCCUUGUGGGUAAUAAAGUCCUUCAUGUUUCAUCAUGUUUACUAUCUGUGUGACAAAUCUUUGCAUAUGUUGCUGCAGUGAUUACAGGCUAGGCUUACCUUAAAGGGUUCAUUGUCGCUUCGGAAGGUACCCCGUACCCAUAUCGAAAUGGAAAGGGAGUUUACCUGACCCUUGGCAGGCUCAUGGACAUUCCAAAACACAUACGUCUGUAUCACAUCGAGGCCACCUUCCUUGGCUUUAGCGAUGAGUGUUGGCCACAUCUGUCAUUUUUUUGAACAGACUCAAGAGGAUUUAUCAAGGGUUGGACUGAAUGAUGGAGUGCAUAAGAAAUUAAGUUUCUUCAGGCGAGCAGAAAAUGCUACUAAUUUUGUCGAUUAACUAUGAUGAUUAUUGAAGGUUUUGACCUUUCC